UGCCUGGGAAAAUCAGAAGAAUCGGGUGUUAUUAUUAUUAUUAUUAUUGACACGACGACAUUGUAUGACACAGCAAACAAGAUAGAUAUGCUGGAUUUGUAUUAUUAUUAUUAUUAUUAUUAUUUUAUUAUGACACAGCAAACAAGAUAGAUAUGCUGGAUUUCGUAUCACAAAACCACAAGUCGAACACUCCCCAAGUGUCUAGGACUGUGUGAUGUAUUAUUAUUAUUAUUAUUAUUAUUAUUAUUAUUAUUAUUAUUAUUAUUAUUAUUAUGACACAGCAAACAAGAUAGAUAUGCUGGAUUUCGUAUCACAAAACCACAAGUCAAACACUUCCCAAGUGUCUAGGACUGUGUGAUGUAUUAUUAUUAUUAUUAUUAUUAUUAUUAUUAUUAUUAUUAUGACACAGCAAACAAGAUAGAUAUGCUGGAUUUCGUAUCACAAAACCACAAGUCAAACACUUCCCAAGUGUCUAGGACUGUGUGAUGUAUUAUUAUUAUUAUUAUUAUUAUUAUUAUUAUUAUUAUUAUGACACAGCAAACAAGAUAGAUAUGCUGGAUUUCGUAUCACAAAACCACAAGUCAAACACUUCCCAAGUGUCUAGGACUGUGUGAUGUAUUAUUAUUAUUAUUAUUAUUAUUAUUAUUAUUAUUAUUAUUAUUAUUAUUAUGACACAGCAAACAAGAUAGAUAUGCUGGAUUUCAUAUCACAAAACCACAAGUCGAACACUCCCCAAGUGUCUAGGACUGUGUGAUGUAUUAUUAUUAUUAUUAUUAUUAUUAUUAUUAUUAUUAUUGUUAUUAUUAUUAUGACACAGCAAAUAAGAUAGACAUACUGGAUUUCAUAUCACAAAAUCACAAGUCGAACACUUCCCAAGUGUCUAGGACUGUGUGAUGUAUUAUUAUUGUUGUUGUUGUUGUUGCUGUUGUAUGACACAGCAAACAAGAUAGACAUGCUGGAUUUAUAUUAUUAUUAUUAUUAUUAUUAUUAUUAUUAUUAUUAUUAUUAUUAUUGACACAACAACAUAGUCUGACACAGCAAACAAGAUAGAUAUGCUGGAUUUAUAUUAUUAUUAUUAUUGACACAAAGACAGAGUAUGACACAGCAAACGAGAUCUAUAUGCUGGAUUUCGUAUCACAAAAUCACAAGUCACUUCCCAAGUGUCUAGGACUGUGUGAUGUAUUUUCGGAUGAUGCGUGCAGAUCCCAGUCGGGUGGCCUUUUGCAGCUGGCAGAUCGUAACUUUGUCAAUGUCUAUUGUUUCCAAAUGCUGGCUGAGAUCUUUUGGCACGGCACCCAAUGUGCCGUCCUAAAUAAUAAUAAUAAAAAUAAUAAAUUUCCCUCUCAUAUGUUUGCAAGUCUAUGCAAAUCCUAUAUACAUAUAGAUAUCUAGAGAUUUCCAUGUACCUGUAUAUCUGUAUCUAUGUAUAUACAUUAUCUUAUAUAUGAAUUUUCACCUCACAUGUUUGCAAGUCUUUGCAAAUCCUAUACAAAUAUAAUUAUCUAUAUAUAGAGAGAUAUCUAGAUAGAUAGAUAUGAAUAUAGGACUUGCAAAUAUUGUAGGGAAAAUGCACACACACACAGAGAUUUCUAUAUAGAUAUAAACAUUUCAGGGGGAAAUGCAUAUGUGAAAUCAGUAUAUAUAAUUAUAGAUCUAUAUCUAGCUCUGCAUUGUUUAUGUAGGCAUUGAAUGUUUGCCUGUUACUAUGUUGGAAGCUGGCCUGAGUCCCUAUGGGGAGAUAGGGCAUGGUACAAAUGGAGUUGUUAUUAUUAUUGUUGUUGUUGUUGAUACCAUAUUGUUUUUUUUACCCUACUUUUCCACUUACAGAGUUAGUUUACUGUUUUUCUUUGAAAUACAGUAAAUGAUCAAAAACCUUUAACCUACUGCUGCCUCAAUAUAAUUUCAUUGGGAUCUGUUUUCAUUUUGAAAUUUACCACUAGCUGCUGCAUUUCCCACCCUCGGCUUAUAUUCGAGUCAAUAAGUUUCCCCAGUUUUUGUCAGAGUAAUUCGCAGCGUAGCAGCAGUUGUAUGUUGUCAAUGGAGCGCAGAAACGAAGAGACGUCAGAGACGAUGUUAAAAAUAUAUACAAAGCUUUACUUUAUAAGACAAAACAGAAUUGCAGACGAACACAGGCUUGGAUUUCACUCUAGGCAGACACAAACUAGAACAGAGCAAGAUUUCAACUGACACAAUCAGUAAUGUACAAACACACUUGAGUCUGGACACUCCCAAGACACAUCAAGGUCAACACAGCUUCUCAGUCAUUAACUCUUUACAGACUAUAGCAUACUCUGGAUGAUGCAACCUAUAUGCAAUACAUGCCAGACACAAAUUUCAUUUAAACACUACUAAUACACAAAUCCCACAUUAACAGUUUUUUGUGGUAAAAUCAGAUGCCUCGGCUUAUAUUAGGGUCUGCUUAUACUCGAGUACAGGGGUCCCCAAACUAAGGCCCGGGGGCCGGAUGCGGCCCUCCAAGGCCAUUUACCUGGCCCCUGCCCUCAGUUUUAGACUUAGGCUCGCCCAAAGUCUGAAAUGACUUGCAGGCACAACAACAACAACAAUCCUACUUGAUGAUCUCAUUGGCCAGAAGCAGACCCACACUUCCUACUGAAAUCCUGAUAAGUUUACAGUAUGUUGAUUAAAAUUAUUUUUAUUUUUAAAUAUUGUAUUGUUUUAUCAUUUACCAAUAUUGUAAAUGAAAUAUUGUAUAUGAAUGAUAUGGUAAUAAUAUAAUAUAUUGUGUAUACAUAUAAUGUUGAUAAUAAAUAUUAUAACGUAGUACAAUAUCAUAUUUAUUUAUUUAUUUAUUUCAGUAUUUCUACCCCGCCCUUCUCACCUGGUAGGGGACUCAGGGUGGCUAAUAAUAAUAAUAAUAAUAAUAAUAAUAAUAAUAAUAAUAAUACAAUAUAAUACUAUUGUAUAAUAUAAUAAUAUUAAUUAUAUAUUAUAUAUUAAAUGUAAUAUUACUAAUAAUAUUAUGGUAUAAUGGUAUAGUACAAUAUAGUAAUAUAUAAUGCUAAUAUUGUGCUAUGCUAAUAAUAUAAUAUAUUGUAUGUACAUACAACUUGUAAGGCGCUCUGAGUCCCUUCGGGGUGAGAGAGGGUGGGGUAUAAAUGUAGCAAAUAAAUAAAUAAGUAAAUGAUCAUUGUUGGGGGGGGGUUGCACUACAAAUAAGACAUGUGCAUAGGAAUUUGUUUGUUUUUUUUCUCUUUCAAAUGAUAAUUCGGCCCCUCAACCAUCUGAGGGACCAUGAAUCGGCCCUCCACUUAAAAAGUUUGAGGACCCCUGCUCGAGUAUAUAUGAGAGGAAAACUUGAGAAUUGGAGUACAGUACUUGAAAGUCAGAACAGGCAACAUGUAAAUGGGCUCCGGAUGGUGAUAAAAGGCCAGAUUGACAACCCAGCUGGGCAUUUGCAACGCAAGGGGGAAAUUACGCCCUUCUGCUUAGUUGAGAAAUGCCCGUUGUCGCUUUGCUUUUGGCGCUGCUUCUGAUGAAAAGUGCAACCCUCCGCCCGGGAACGCUAUAAUAAGAUGCCAUGUUUGAUAACAAUCAUUCAUGUUCUCUAUUAUGAGGCUUCGUGGGGCCGGCCGGCAUUGUUGAAACCUGACAGUUUUGGCAUAAAUUCUUCCCAUCUGCCUUCUGUUCCUUUAAGAAGAUAACUAGUUUUUAUGUCGUAAAAAUAUCAAUUUGUGUCAUUCCCACCGAGCCGUAUCAUACUCAUUAUAGUCGUGAAAUUAAGGACUUUAGCGCUAUCUUGGCAGGUCUGUUGAGUGGAAGAUGCUGACAAACGGGAGGCUCAAAGGCAAAAAAUUAGUAUUUUCCACAGACAGUCAACCUUGUUAAAAGAAUGUGGCAAUCACGGAUAAAACGGCAUUUUUCUCGCUUGGAACAUGCAAACAAAAAAACCCGUUCUAACAUAUGGAUCCAGGCAGAAAAUACCAGAUAAUCAGAAAAUAAGCAAGUCAAGCUUCGCUAUGGAGCAUCUUUGGAGAAAAGGUAGAAUCUUCUCCAAUAUUCCCAUUUUUUACAUUCACAUUCUAGUCAAAAGUGAAUUAAAGUGAUCAUCUCUCCA